rnacentral:rRNA from 1 species
GUGGCCUUUUUGCUCUGCUCGUCCUCUUCCCGGAUCCUCCUUAAUGGGCUGCCGGACCCCCCCCCCCCCAUCAAGCACGGUAAUGGCUUUCGGCAAGGGGGCCCCCUCUCCCCGCUGCUCUUUGUCCUUACCAUUGAUCCUCUUCACCAAAUUCUGGACCUCGCAACUCGAAAGGGACUCCUCCAUAGGAUUCGUGGGCGGGGAGCCAUGUUGAGAACAUCCUUAUAUGUGGAUGAUGUUGCAGUUUUCGUGGCUCCUAUCAAGCGAGAUAUUGACAGCCUCUCAACCAUCUUAAGAGCUUUCGGCGACGUCACGGGCCUCUGUACCAACUUCCAUAAGAGCUUCGUUGUGCCAACUCGGUGCAAUCUCAUUGACUUGGAACAUAUUCUUGGUGCGUGCCGGUGA